GCCUGAAUGGCGGAAUUGGUAGACGCACGGGACUUAAAAUCCCGAGAUCAUUGUGAUCGUGAGGGUUCGACCCCCUCUUCAGGUACCA
rnacentral:tRNA from 1 species